UGCUCACUGCUCUAUCUGUCAGA
rnacentral:siRNA from 1 species